GUAGACAGGUGUGUCACCAGGCUGUAGCUCCAGCUGUUUGUUUAGGGACAUCAGUAGUGAAUGAUGGCCAAUUGCCUGGACUAUCUCCCAGAUGAGCAACAUGCAGCCUAACGGGCUAAAAGACUAUGCAGGUCAGGAAUCCCGUCCAUCUGGAAAAAGCUUCCGUAAUUGCCAGAAGGUCCCUGGGGUUUCUGGGGACCCAGGACACAGAAGUUCAAAGUCAACUUGACAGUCUUCUCCUAGAUAUUCAUAUGGAGUUUCUGUCAUCGAGCCAAAAUGGAGAACUGUGUGUUGUAAUCGUGCAGGGCCUGGAAACUGCUGCAGCCACUUUAGAAGGGGCUGCUGAACUGCAAACGGCCUCAGUCUAUUCCACAGGACACCUCUUCAUUCUGUCUCUGAGGAACCCCAAAACAAAGCUGACUUUACCUGACGAAGGUUUUCGUUGCCCCGGAAUGUUGAUUUAACCUUCUCUAUGCCACGCUGGGGGCUGACCGGAUUCCCUUUCCUAAGAUCGAAGUGCAUUCUCGAAUGAUGUUGGGAGUGAACCUGAGACAAGUUUUUCAAAUAAUUAGGAACAUCUCCUUGCUAAUAAAUCUCUCGUACAGCUUUAAUUUGAUUGUGCA
rnacentral:lncRNA from 1 species